CUAUGCGCCUUCGCCACGCCCGCUCAAGAAACUUAAAGGAAUGACGGGCCCCGCACAAGCAGCGGAGCGUGUGGUUUAAUUCGAUGCUACACGAAGAACCUUACCAGGGUUUGACAUACAAGUAGUAGGGAAAGGAAACUGGACCGACCCUUCGGGGAGCUUGAACAGGUGCUGCAUGGCUGUCGUCAGCUCGUGUCGUGAGAUGUUCGGUUAAGUCCGCUAACGAGCGCAACCCUCGCUGUGUGUUACAAGUGUCACACGGAACUGCCGGUCAUAAACCGGAGGAAGGUGGGGAUGACGUCAAGUCAGCAUGGCCUUUAUAUCCUGGGCUACACACACGCUACAAUGGGAAGGGACAAUAGGUUGCGAAACCGCGAGGUGGAGCCAAUCCAGCAAAACUUCCCUCAGUUCAGAUUGCAGGCUGCAACUCGCCUGCAUGAAGUUGGAGUUGCUAGUAAACGCAGGUCAGCCAUACUGCGUUGAAUACGUUCCCGGGGCUU
rnacentral:rRNA from 1 species